rnacentral:lncRNA from 1 species
CGGAUAAUGUUGCACUGGCUGAGGAAGAACUGGAGGGUGAUCAGCGUAUACCUAAUCAGGUCAUGGGAGCCGUAGAGGCCGAGUUAAAGACUGUGAUGCUAGACUUGAUAGAAAGAAAACAGGGCAUGGGAGUCGUAGAGGCCGAGUUAAAGACUGUGAUACUAGACCUGAUGGAAAGAAAGGGCACGGGAGCCGUAGAGGCCGUGUUAAAGACUAUGAUGCUAGACCUGAUGGAAAGAAAUCAGCAGUGUGAAAACAAGUUGCAGGAGUUGGAAGACAAGGAGCAAGAGUUAAAAAACAAGGUGCAGCAGCUGAAGGAUAGAAAUGAGGAGCUAAAGGCUCUUUGGGAGGCAGAGACAGCUACUCGCAUUAGAAUUGAGGGAGUAGCGGCAGAACUGAUGAUAAAGAAGAGGAGGUUGGAUCAGAUACUUGAUACUUAUAGGACCAACAUGUAGGGAGACGUCUUACUAGUAAAUCUAUGAAUUGCUGCAAGGGGUUCAGAUUCGGUUCCCUAUCUUCUUUAUAUGGUUCUCGUUGCGCUCUUCUCCUUGGCGGCAUUUUUUGUUUAAUAUAACAGUGUAUUACCAUAACAUUAUCACUCUUGUGGCACAUUUAAUAAAACAUGUUUAUAUUAAUAUGCAUCAUACUAGUAUAUCUUACAUUUCAUAGCACUUGCUAUUUACAUAUUCCGUAUUAAUCUUAAAAGUUGGGAUCAACGCUCAUGUGGCACCUGGGGUUCAAUAUCCAAAUUUUCGAAUAGAAAGAGGCUCGAUUUGCGGUUGAGACAUAUUUUGAUAACGGUUCAUUCUUACGUUCUUUCUUAUCUGUGCAUUAUCAUGUUACGUGAAAGAACAAAUAUUUGCCUUUGUUUGCAAAACCAUAUGUAUGUCUGACAAACUAAAAGUAGAUAGAUUGCUGGUCAAAUCACUGGUAUAGUCUAUCUACAUCAUGAUUCAUAGUGACAAUCUGUUUGCAUGUUGUUAGUUUUGCUUGUAUGUUGGACUACCCUGUUUCUAUCAACCACUACUCUGUUUGGUUUGGCAGGAAAUUUGCAAGUCAUAUGCUUUGAGAAUUAUGGGAAGCUUCUAGAAAAUGAUUUGGAUGCUUUAAUUUAUAUUGAGGAGCACAUGAGUCUAACCUAUUAUUUGUCCAAUUAUUUUUGUUUAUCGUACUUAAUGUAUACUAUUAUUAUGCCAUAAAUGGACAGACAUAAAUACUAUGAAUGGUAAUGUCUCAUAUUAAUGAAAUUUGUAACCUUCAAAUUUAAAUCUCAAUAAAUAAUUGUUAAUAUUCUUAUUUUCUUAAAGAGUCCUAUGGGGACAUUGUUCAGCGACAUUUCUUUUUUUUUUUUUCUUAGGUUUUUUUUUUGUAGUACUUCCCAAAAAAUAUAUAGUAUUUAUUCUAAUUGAAAUUUUUAUAAAAAACAGGAGUCUGUAUAAUCUGUAUAACCAUGUUUCUUGUAUGUAUUCAAAUUACACCUAAAACACUGUUUUCUGUAAAAAUUCCCGUUGGAAUAAAUACUAUACAUUUUUUGAGAGGUACUGCAAAAAAAAAUAUAGCUAGAAAUGUGGGUGAACAAUGUCCCCCAAGACUUAUUGUUUCUUAAAAUAUACUCCAAUAAAGUCCAAAUUGAUAGGUUCUUUCAUAGUUAAUUAAAUAUCUCUAGCGAUUGUUUCUAUGACACUGAUUUCAAACGAAAUUGGUAACUAUAAAUUUUCAAAUCUUAUUUUUUUCUUAAAAGAAAAUUUUGAAACACGUGAUAAAUUUUUUAAUACUUAACUUUGUUUUGACGAUGCUGUAUUUAUGUUAUUUCUUUUUAAUACUUUAAAUUUGAAUGAUUUUAAAAAUAAUUUUAAAAUGUUUUAACGUGCGACAAAUAUGAAAGAGUUUAGUUUUUAUUGUAAUUAAUGUAUGUUUUUAUAAUGUCAUAAUUGGAUUAAUAUUAGGACACUAAAUGUGUAGUUAUUGUAUUUUAUAUAUAUAUAUAUAUAUAUAUAUAUAUAUAUAUAUAUAUAAUAUUUUAAUACACGAAUUUAUAAUGGAUUUAAGGUAGGGACAAAGUUGAAAGAGUUCAUAAUAUAUUUUGUAUUUUAAUUUAAUAUAUGAACAAAGUUGAAAGAGUUCAUAAUAUAUAUUGGAUUUAUGGUACAGUUUUUCUCUUCCACAUUGAUGUAUACUUAUUAAAUCUUAGGGCUUUGUUUUUGAAUUAUGUUUCCAUAUUUGAUCUCUUAUUUUAUUUCCUUUUUUUGAUCAGUAGAUCUUCAUUUAGAUUGUUUUAGAUGCUGUAUAUAAGUUUUGCCAAUUUCAUUUGCCACUGUUGAGCUUUUUGGAGCCUGCUCGACAAUGACUUAUAAGUUAGUCGGGUUAAAUGCUUUCCAAGUCACUGUACUAUACGUCAACUUACAACUGGAUUACUGAACUUUUUUUUCUUACAGUCAACUCACUGAACUUUAGUUUACUAACAAAAAUUUAUUUUUUUGUAACAGGCGUUAAUUUAUUGGACGGGAAUCUGACGUGUAAAACGAAGGGUCCCUUCUAAUCCUAGCUGGAGCUGACCUGUAAUGUAUUUUAACACCUAAGCCAUUGCCCACCCAUGGAAAACUAAGAUCCGACCCACCCAAUAAAGAUCCGAUCCAUCCCAACAAAUGAUUUUUGAUAAAUAACGAAUUUGAUCCAGAUCUCUUUAUUGACAUCAUCAUCUUUUAUCUCAAAUCCCUCAACUCACUCAAAUUCCAUCAGCUCAUGCGAAUCGAAGCACAAAAGAGAAGAAAGAUCGAGAAUAACAACAAUUAAAUUGAACAACAGUAGCAAAUCCAAGUCUUGCUGAUGGAUUUCCUCUCCAAUGGCGUCAAUCUCAAGCCUCUGUUAAUCUCCAUUGAAGAACAGAGAACAGAGCAGAUUGCUUUGAGAGACAACGGCAGCAGCAGAGAACAGAGCAAAGGGGUGGCGGUAAAAAUGCCUUUGACUGCCGAUCAAUCGACCGGCGAGAGGUGCAAUGCGUGAGGCUGAAGUGCGAAGGAUGCCAUUGAGAGCCAUUUUCGAAUUUAGCAGAGUGAAGGUCUAGGGUUUUAGCGAAGCUUUGAAAUACAUUUAAGGGAAAAUUAAGGGGUUUUAAUUUAUAUUAUUACCUCAGACAAAUUGCUUUUCUCGAAAAAGAGGGGAAGGAUUCCAAAGUUGAUGGCAGAUUCCAUUACGACUCGUGUAUCUAGAGGGAUUAGUGGAGACGAACAAGGGAUUGGAGCUCUUGAACAAGAAGCUUUUAUUAAUGGCUCUUUUGAGUUUCAUCCCAAUUUUGCAGCUGCUGGACUAGAAUGCACUCUCAAUCAUCUGGUUGAAAUUAUGUGAAUUUGGAAAAUUAAGGGUUUUUAAUUUAUAUUAUUAUAUUGGUAAAGAAUUAAAUAAAAAUUCAUUUGAUAUUUAUUAAAAAAAAUUAAAUAUAGUAUUUAUUUUUUUUUAUUUUUUUGACCAACUUUUCUAAUUUAUAUUAUUAUAUUUGUAAAUAAUUAAACAAAAAUUAAUUUGAUAUUAAUUACAAAAAAAUUAAAUAUAUUUUUCAUUUAUUUUCUUGUUUUUGGUAAAGUUUUCUAAUUUAUAUUAUUAUAUUUAUAAAUAAUUAAACAAAAAAUAAUUUGAUAUUAAUUACAAAAAUAACUAAAUAUAUUUUUCAUUUAAUUUCUUAUUUUUUGGCAAACUUUUUUAAUUUAUAUUAUUAUAUUUGUAAAUAAUUAAACAAAAAAUAAUUUGAUAUUAAUUACAAAAAAAAUUAAAGAUAUUUUUCAUGUAUUUUCUUAUUUUUUGGCUAAGUUUUCUAAUUUAUAUAAUUAUAUUUGUAAAGAAUUCAAUAAAAAAUAAUUUGAUAUUCAUUACAAAAAUAAUUAAAUAUAUUUUUCAUUUAUUUUUUUGUCUUUUUUGGCAAACUUUUCUAAUUUAUUUUAACAUAUGUUGCUUUAUUUACUAUUUUUUUUGACUUUAUUUUAUUUUUGAAAAAAAUCUUUCAUUUGCACUCAAAAUUGGUCACAUUAUACAUGUCAGCUUUCUCUCUCUUCCACGUAAGAAAGCCACAUGGAAUUAUUUGUGCUAUAUCAGAAUUUUUUUACACAUACGCAGCUGAUGUGGCAAAUUCCUUCUAAAGUCAACAGACUUAACGAAAAUUUUAACGUUUUGUAAGUAAACACAAGUUCAGUGAGUUGACUGUAAAAAAAAAAAAUUCAGUGACCCAUUUAUAAGUCGACCUAUAGUACAGUGACUUAGAAAGCAUUUAACCCUAAGUUAGUCAAGUCAACUUAUAAGUCAUUUGUUGUUUGACAAUAACUUAUUUUUGUACUUAUAAGUUAAUUUUUAAGUAAAAAAAAACAAGUAUUUGUAACUUAUUUUAAAAUGAUUUAUAAGUCAUUUUAAAAUAAGUUAGUUUGACCAAAUGUAAUGUUUAUUUUGACCAUCUUCUAUUUUGUAACUCUUUUUAUUAAUGUCCUUUUUAGUAAUCUUUAUAUUUGAUUUUAACUUAUAAGUCAUUAUGAGUCGAAACACUUUCAUAACUUGUUUUAACUUAAUUUUUGACUUAUAAAUCAAAUUAAUGCUGAACGCUUUUAUUUUAAGUCACAACUUAUAUUUUAAAUUUAAGUCAUUUUAAAAUAAGUCGUUGCGGAACGGACUAGGUAAAGACUUAUUUUUUAACUUAUAACUUAAUUUAUUAUUUCAAAGAAGUAAACAAUAAUUUAUAACUUAUUUAAAAAUGACUUAUAAGUCAUUUUUAAAUAAGUUAGUUUAACCAAAUAUAAUAUCUAUUUUCCCCUCUAUUUUUUAAAUUACAUCUCUACCCCUCUAACCUAAAUAACCUGAUCUCUUUAUUCACUUCUAACGUAAACACAAGUACACAACUACACAGCGGCUAAUUGGAGAUCUGCUCUCCUCUGCGCUGCCCUCGAUCCGUCAAUUUCUUGGAUUCUCCCUCUUUCCCUCUUUCCCUCUUUCCCUCUGUGGCUGUUACUACUGCUACUCCUUCGAUUGCUGCUACGCUGUUAAGUACCAAACCCUAGACCACAUGUUUGAUAUGUGUGUGUAUUAUGUUAUGUGAAUCUUUGGCAUGUGGUUUUUCUUAAAUACUCUAGUUUCAGAGCCUGUGGGUUUCGAUUCAAUUCCAUUUUUGUUAAUUUAUGUGGUUCAAAUGUUUGAUUGAUUGAAUGAAUGAUUUGUUUUAUAAUGGGUUGUGCUUAAUUAGGAAUAUGUAAGCAGCUUCAUGUUAACAAAUUUAACCUGGGCUCUGCUUAACCUGUGUAUUGUGUGAUCUAUUCACAAUUGCUGAUUGGGACUUGGGGUGAGGGGAGUGUCGAUACUGAGACAACAUAUAACAACAUAAUUGAUUUGUUUACUUCAUCCUAGCUACACAGUUUAUACCCAUUUGAUAUUUGUAGAGAAUUAUUGGUGUUCAAGAUAUUUAGGAGAAAAAUGAUUUUUUUUCUUUAUCAGUAGUUAGUUACUUGUUUGAAUUGAGGUGUUUAUUGAUGCUGAGGAGUGUAGUCUCUACUUUUCAUUAACUUUGAUUUAUAUGUUGUUUUUAAUUAGUUGGCAGUUUAUACUGUACAUGUUUGAUGAAAUUCCUCAAUGAGUAUUACCUGUAUACUGUUCAGAAUAGAAAUCACCAGUGAUGAUUAUAUCAAGUCAUGAGCUAAGUAGUGUGUCCAUAUUGAUUAAUUAAAAAGUGAAAAAGAACUUUCUAAAAAAGUGGAAAACUGGGAGCCAAGUGGAAUGAUUGACUAAGCUGCCUAAAAAUUGUUUGGAGUUGCAUAAUCUUCUGUGAGUCUAACAACAGCAAGUCUACACGUGUAUCACAGGGAUUAGGUAUAUGAACAUGUAGCUGGAACUGCAUUAACUUGAUAUGUUUAGGUAUAUGAACAUGUAGCUGGAACUACAUUAGGUAUAUGAUUGUAGUUGAUAUGUUUAGAGAAUUUGUUUAGUGUUUUAUUUAAUGAAAUUGUGGAUGAUUGUUAUGAUAUGAUAUUGAAUCAAUAUAUCUUUUUAUUAAUGUCCUUUUAGCCUUCAUAGCUUCUUUUAACUUAUUAUCCGACUUAUAAGUGAAAUUUAUGCCGAACGCUUUUACUUGUAAGUCACAACUUAAAAUAACUUAUAAGUCGACUUAUAUUUUAACUUUAAAUCAUAUUAUAAAUUGAUUUGAAAUAAGAAUGUUCAGUAAUUGAAACAUUAUGGAACGUUAUGAUUUUAUGUUGUUUUUCUAUUUGUAAUAUAUAUGACGGUUAAGCUUGCCUAUUCAGGGAAUUUUUAUCUAUAGAUGGUGAUUUAUCCAGAAUUUGAAAUCAGUGUGGUUUUGUUUGUUUUGUUGGGUUUUUGGGUUCUGUUUUCAAACACCAUAAAAAACACAGGAUGAACAGAGUUUUAGAUUUGUAUAUAAACCAGUUUAAUAUACAUUACCCAUCUAUACAUGCCACGUUGAUUGUAAGUCUUCCCCCUUACCUUCCAAGUCCAAUCUAACACUGGCUUGCUUUUGUUCAAAAUAAAUUUGCUAAACAUCAUGUAUAUUGUAAUUAAACAUAUCUUGUUUUGUCUUGUUUCGUUUUUCCGAAGUUGUAUAAGCCUUUAUACUCUAGUGGAUGUGAGUAUCUGCACUUGGUAAAAUACAGUGGAACUCGCAACAGUCAAGUAGACCAUGUAUGAUAUUGAUUAGGUUCAGUUUGAGCAGACCUUUGAGCCCUAACAUUACUCACUCUACUGACUAUGUAUAAUAUUGAUUAGGUUCAGUUUAAGCAGACAAUUCUUGUGUUUUAAAAGAAUGGAUAUUGUCAUGAAAAAAUGACUUCUAUGGGUGUAUAGAGUGAGUAAUGUUAGGGCUCAAAGAAGUUUCAUGAAUAUUUUAAUAUAAUUUAUUAAAUGACCAUUCACAAUUUAUGUAGUCAACCAAUGUAAUAAUGACAUUAUUUGAGAUCUCAUAUUUGUUGAAACCCUAGCGUUACUCACAGGGUAUACGAUUAUUUGUCUGUGCGGUUUCCAGUUCAAGCAAUAUUACUGUUGGCUCUGGACCUCUGGUUAUUAAUCAUUAAUAUUGAAUUCCCUCCAUCCCAUAUUAUUUGUCCAACUUUCCAUUUUGAAAAUCCCAAAAUGCUUGAAUUUUUCAAAUUCCUUUAUUGCUUUCAUGUGUUGCAUUAAUACAAAGGUACAAAAUUUAGAUGAAGGGGUACUAUUGGUUUACCUUAUAAGCCUGAUAUAUUGAUAUGAAGAUGAUAAAAUGCAAUUUUCUCAAGUGGCGUGUCUAUCAUUUUGUACAUUAAAUUUAGUAUGGAGGGAUUAAUAGAAAAUGUUUAUGGGAGUUAAGCAGACUACAAACAUGUAAUAGCCUAUGAACAUAUACAGAUCGGGAGGGAUUCAACAUACAAGGAGUUUCAUGUUCAAAUAGUUGUCAGGAAACAAAUUUUAAGAAAUACGGUAAUACCUUCUUUGAAGUUAAUUUGGAGAAAACCACAAUGUGGAUGAAGCUAAGGGGGACCUUGAAGCUAAGAUGAGGCAAAAUUACCCACAACUUUUUGAGUAACGUAGUAGUGAUUUCGGGGACGGAAUCCUUAUAAGGAGGGAAGAAUGUAAUAUCCGAGAAUAAUAUAGAAAGCUUUUGGGGUUAUGUAAUUAUAAUUGUAAUUUUAAUUGAGUACAAUUUAUAAUUGAGAAUGUUGUGCAAAUUAAAGUAAAUGUGUGUGUGUGUGUGUGUGUGUAUAUAUAUAUAUAUAUAUAUAUAUACGGAGCGGAUCAAGAACACUCUUCUUAAAUAGCACUCCGCCUUAAAUAGCACUCUUUUAUCAAAACGACGUAGUUUUGAAGGGACGCGGUGGCAUUUUUGUAAAUACAAUGCCACCGCGUAUUUACAAAAAUGCCACCGCGUCCCUCCAAAACUACGUCGUUUUGAUAAAAGAGUGCUAUUUAAGGCGGAGUGCUAUUUAAGGAGAGUGCUCUCCGUAUAUAUAUAUAUAUAUAUAUAUAUAUAUAUAUAUAUGGAGUUAUAUUAGCCAAACAAGAAGUCAACAAGUCAAACUUUUGUCAAGUUUUUGGUCAAGCCUAGUCAAGCCUUAUGGAAGUUUUAAAAAAGGAAAUCGGUCAAAAUCUGGCCAAAGUCAAGGCCCAUGGGGGCAACCAAGCCAGGAGGGUUUGACCAUAAGAUAACAAGUCUUGGGAGGGAGGCAAGUGAUAUUCACCAUUUUGGCCUAUAAAUACCAAGUCUUGUUUAGCUUUCCUACACUUCACAAAUUCAAUCAACAAGAGCCAAGAAAUAGAGUGGGAGAUUUCGUCAUCUAGGGGAGUAAGAAGGAGAGGUCCCAAGCUAGCAAGAUCAAAAACAAGAAUAUCCAAGAAGGAAAGACCUUUGGCCCGAGUGGUAUGACCCAACCCAUGUUAACCAUGAGGUUGGGGUUCAAUCAUUGGCAGUGGCCAAGGAGGGUGUGUCAAAUUAGCAAACAAAAAUAAAAAUAAAACCUAAAAUUAUUCUAAAUCCAAGUUUUCUUAUGAAAGUCCUUGAUCUAUGUUAAUAAACUGAUACAUGAUGGAUCUUGGUUGUAGAUACCAUCAAGGAAAAAGUUUGAAAGAACAGAAGAAGUUUAAACUUGUUUAGGUUAAAAACACUAAAACAGAACCCGAAAAUGGAACAUUAAUCCUAGUGUAUAAUGAAUUUUUGAGUGAGGUUUGUUGGGGUUGUUACUUCUUUGAGUUAUGUAAACACUGCAAAAAGAUUAAAACUUAAAUUCCUUAUAGAUUAAUUAUGGUGAUUUUUCUAUUCAAAACAGGAAACUGAUGAACUUCCUACCUUAGUAUUUUCAGUGGACAAUUUCUGAUGGUAAACUUGUUUAAUAAAUUAUGGCUUUUUGAGGGUUGAUACCUUAUGGUAUAAAGUAUGAACAAAAAUGGACUUGUGUUGAAGGAGUUUUGACCAAAACCAAAUUGGACAUUUUAAAAUUAAAAUAGCUAUAACAUGAGUUCUAUAACUCAUUUGAUGAUGAAAUUUAAAGUGGAAGUACUCUCUGAUGUUAGAGUCUACUAUCCAAAUUUCAUAAUUUUUGGAAGUAAUUUCGAAUUAUAGUAAAUAUUGUAAUUUUGGACAGAAAUGACCGUUGAAUAAAUACUAAACAGUGAUGGAAAAAUCAGAAAACAUUUAAAAUAUAAUUAACUAUGUGGGGGCCAGAAGGAUAGAAUUAAUAAAUUGGUUAAAGAGGUUUAAUGGAGAAAAUAAAGUUAAGAAAAAUUAAGAAAUUUAAUUCAAGUAAAACCAAAAAAUAUGUAAUAUAAUUUUAUCUGUUAAUAUGGAACGUAUGAGCUUAAGUGUUAAUUGGUGAGGUCUAGAAAUGGUACGAGGGGAUGCUCGAGAUUGAGUUUACGUUAAAAGAAAUUAUUGAAACGGGUUUAGGAGUAAUUAUCAUUGGUAACUAUUAAUAAUAAUAGUUAAGUUAAUUGAAUUAAUAUUUAUUGAUAUUGUAGGUGAUCAUUUUGAAGGAAGUUAGUAACAUAACAAGGGAGAUAUACACAAUCCAGGCAAGUUUCCGCACUUAUGUGCAUUUACAAAUUGUUCGAUUAUCGAACUGUGUUUUAUUCAUUAAAUUUCUUGUUAUUUCAUGAACUGUUUUGAAAAAUAAGUCUUGUGUUAUUUGUUUUGGCUAGACACAGUCGGUUUGAUAUGUUAUAUUAUUGAAUUGUUAAUAAUUCUUUGGAGAUAUUUAAAUCUAAUCCAAAUUGUUUUGGUGUGGGGUCUGGUGUUAUAACUGAGUAGAACAACCCUAGAAAUAUGGGAUAUUGUGUUGUGGUCGGGUAACUGACAUGCGUUGUCAAAAAUACAGUGCGGAGAUGAUAUUACGCAUAACAUGGUAUGUCAUUGGGUUGAUCCCCUAAUGAUACUCUUUAGAGAGUUCACAUUCUGUGAUUGUUGAACAGUUUUGGAGAGUUCUGAUGAACAAAUUUUAUUAGUUCAUGGUUCUUUUUGACCACUCAGUUGUCAUUCGAAUGAUUUUAAAUCAUGUUAAGUUUUUGAGAUUACAAGUUCCUAUCUUGUGAAAAUGUUAUUGAACUCUUAUUUGUUCGUUCAUUUGAAAUGUUAUUUAGCGAAUAUAAUAAAAAUGUUUUUAUUGUAUUAUUUAUACUUGUUGAGCAAUGUAGUUUUUCACUCUUGCUAUAUCAAAUGUUUUUCAACUAAAGCAAUUCCCGAAGGGUUGGGAAAAGAUUAGGGAAAAAGAAAGGCUAAAGACUAAUAUGUAAUUGAUAUAUAUUAGAGCUUUAUUAUUAUUAAAUGGUGUAAUAUUUUUGAAAUAGUUUAUUAUAUUUUGUUUAAGUUGUAAUAGUUAGUAAGGUUAAGAACCUAGGAGGACUAUAAGGUGGUGUUUGUUUGCCUUUUAAUUCACCUGCUUUUGAUUCGGUCAGAGACAAAUCUUGUUUGAUAAAAAAUUUUUGCCUCUUAAUAAUUCUUAAUCGUUAAGACAAACUCAAACCUUAAUUAUUAAGAGCUGCCUCUUAAUAGUUUAUUUAAAAUUUAUGGACAAAAAUAGCCUCAAUAAAUAUUGUACUCCUUCAAUUUCAAAUUUCAAAUUUUAAGAUCAUUCAAAUAAAAAUUUUAAAUAACUCAAAGGGUUAAAAUGGAAAAAUAGUGUUAUUAAGAUUCUUUACACUUUUUAGUAAUCAAACAAUAUUUUAGAUUCACAUAUUAUUUCAUUCGGAUGAUCUAAUUUAUUAUAAUGUAUUAAUCAUUUAGAUCUUAAUUACUCAGUUUUAUCAAACACGUAAGACAUGUUAUGUAAAUUAUUGUAUUUAUUUUUGUCUUUUUAAGUUUAUGUUAUCAGAUAGAUGUGGAUGAUGAUGAAUAGUGAGCACCAUAUCUGUUGUUUUGAGACAAGUUGAUAUCAGAGUUAUAGGGUACAACCCUUAGGUUGCAAAACCUUGGGAUAUAAUCAGAUGAAAAAUAACAAUGAUAUGUGAACUCUCAUAGAUUUCUUAAGUAAUAAGAGAUGAAUUGCUCAUUCAUCAUGUUUAUUAAACUAAAUGUUAUGUGGAAGUUAAUCAAGUUAUAUUAUAUGUUAUAUUAUGAUGUGAAUUAAGUUUGUUAUCUUAUCCUAUUGUAGGAUGGCCAGCGAGGAAGAAAUUAGCGACAGUUAUGAGGUACCUAGACCUGUGCCAACAGUAGUACCCGAGCCAAUCAGUGAACCAGAAGAGGAACCAUUCAUGGAUCCUGAAGAAGAACUUGAGGAAACUCGUGAAGAGGAUCAAGCAAUUUCGGAUGAUGUUGCACUGGCUGAGGAAGAACUGGAGGGUGAUCAGCGGUACCUGAUCAGGGUAUGAGAGUCGUAAAGCCUGAGUUAAAGACUGCGAUACUAGACCUGAUGAAAAGAAAUCAGCAGUUAGAAAAGAAGUUGCAGGAGUUAGAAAGAACACGGCAGUUACAAAACAAGCAGGAGUUAGAAAAAAAUCAGCAGUUAAAAAACAAGUUGCAGGAGUUAAAAAACAAGGUGCAGCAGGUGAAGGAUAGAAAAGAGGAGAUAAAGGCUCUUCGAAACAAGGUGCAGCAGGUGAAGGAUAGAACAGAGGAGCUAAAGGCGCUUUGGGAGGCAGAUAUAGCUAAAUGCAUUAGAUUGGAGCGAGUACUGGCAGGACUGAGUUUAAAGGAAAGGAGGUUGGAAUGGAUACUUUAUACUAUUAGGACCAACUUGUAGGGCUCCUACUAAUAAAUCUAUGAAUUGCUGCAAGGGGUUCUGAUUCGGUUCCCUAUCUUCUGUAUCUGGUUCUCGCUGCGUUCUUCUCCUUGGCAACAUUUUCUGUUUAAUAUAACAGUGUAUUACUAUAACAUUAUCACUCUUGAUGCACAUUUAUUAAUAUGUAUCAUACUAGUACAUCUUACAUUUCAUAGCACUAGCUAUUUACAUAUCCUGUAUUAAUCUUAAAAAUUGGGAUUUACAAAAACUAUAAACUUUUACUACUAUAUAUAUAUACUAGAUAUGUCCCGUGCCUCUGGUACUUUGUGUAUGGUGGAAUUUAUCUCAAAUUUUGGACGGUCCAGAUGAUUUAUUAGGGUGAGCGGAAAAUUUAAAAUCAGUUGUAAAAUAUUGACGAUAUAUAUAUAUAUAUAUAAGUCUCAUAGGUCUUCUCUUAUGGCAUCUAGGUACUCUUCUAGACUCAAACGCAAAGCUAGACCCUUGCUGAUAGUGUAACUUGUCUGACCUAUCUCUGUUGGGUAGUACUCUACGCUAUCCUGAAAUUGCUCGAAAGAGGUCCUAUAAGUAUAAGUGAGCAAUAAAUUUGCUCAUCAAGUUUUAUAGCUCAAUAAUUAACAAUUAAUACAAUUUAUCGUUCAAAAUAUAUCGUAACAUUUCAGAAUCCCAGAUCCAAGGAAUAAUAAAAGCUUGAAUCUUCGUCGCUUAGCUCGACAACUAAUAAAAGAGUAAAUAACUCAAAAUCAAAUGAUUUUCAUCAGCUGUGGCUCAACUUUCCAAUUAUAUGAAUAAUAUCAAAUAACCGAGUGACCAUAAGGUAAUGAAUUCUUAAACAAUGUUAAAAACUUUUCCAAGUGUUCAUUAGUCACAGACUAUGAAACUCUACAUGAAGUACUGUUAGGUGAUUAGCCUAAAACACUUUUGUUACGCAUAACAUCAAAACACCGUGAAUUCUCGGUGUAUUGUCGGCAAACUGACAGGGUUACCAUUCUUUACGUAACGAGGCAUUAGAGCAAUGGGUGAGCGUACUACUACUAGACUAGCGCGCGAAAGUCGUUGCUUGUUUGGUUGCCUUGAUAUCGGCAUGGCCUUUAAUGACUGGCAUUAAGCAAAUGGAGAGCUCCCAUGUGAGUAUCCUCGGUCUCACUCUGUCUGAGUUAUCUUGGCUUGACUCACGUUGAGCAGCCAACUGAGAUACCCUUAUCUGCUCCCCAAGGGCUUAAAUAAGGGCUUUAUCGCAUGCCUGAGUAUAACCCUAAUCUGAUAGACUACAAGGAGCACGGCCAUCCAGAGGUGUAUAGUUCCAUUCUGCCUGGAUCCGGUAUCAUAAGCCAUAUCGGUACUGCUUCUGAAACGACUUCUAACUGCGAGAGUGCCUUAGAUCAGGAGCAUGAAAAGCUCAAUAAGCACCCUAUUACAAAAGAGUCCUGGCAGGAAUAGGCAAACCAUUCUUCGAAAUGAUAAAACAUUGGAAAAUGGCAGAAAUGGGUUUAAAGUCCGGUUUGAACUUAACGGAAUUAAUCAAUGUUAACGAUCAUAAUUUUUACGCUAAGUUGUUAUGCUAUGUGUAAUUUUUACUUCAGUCUCCCGCUUAGUGAUUGCAACUAUAGUCAAAGUAGGAGUUCCCAGAACAGAAGUAAUCAUGAAAUGUGGAAUUGAAAGGUUUAGUAUAUUAUUGAGGUCUUGUAAAAAGAAUUGUAAAGCACACCAUGCUUUCGCAUAGGACUUCUACUAAAGCUAGAAGAAAUCAAGAGACUUAUCAAGCCUUGAAAAGUCAAAAUUGCAUAGCUCGCAUCUUCCCACUUGACUCAAAGUUCUUUCCCCUACCAAGUUUCGAUAGGCCUACAUCUCGCCUCGCACUACCGGAAUAAAAAUGGAUUUGCGACUCCCGGAACUUAGAUGUACCGCUCACCGCAAAGAAGAGUUUUUUUACUAUCUAUUUAUCCAUAAAGGCUUGAGCGCAUCACUUUCCAACUAUGCCUAUUUAUUGCUUGAAAGUAACCCUCGACUUCCAGCUGUCUAUCUUUGGCCUCCUGGGAAAGACCCUUCCUCGAAAUCUUUUAUCUAUUUUCGUCGACCCCCACUUUUUUAGUUAGGGAUCGGGUAACCUAUUAAGUUAAGGAAAUUCCUCCUCUUUCCACAUUCUUAUAGAAAACUCUCCUCUAGACUAGGAUUUCCCCUGGCUAAGAGAAAGGGCCACCGCUCCUUGGGCUGGAAUUCAAUUCAAAAACUGCUCAAACUUAGCUUGGUUUUCAGGAUUAAACGACGUCCUGAUGGCUCCAUUGACAGAUACAAAACUCAACUAGUCGCAAAGGGCUUUCACCAACGCCCCGACCUUGAUUACACUGAUACUUUCAGAGAAGUAGUUGUAGGAGCGCCGCUCGCUAUAUAGAUGGUACUCAAGGCACCAGUCAACUCCUGUCAUCCCCGAGUACGAUCUUCUGCUCAAAUAGCCACCGGAGGCAAGGUAAAUACCGAAUAAAAAGAGAUGGAGACAGCUCGGAAUACAAUUGAGGGUCAAACCUCGCCUUCUUCUUCUUAAAGUUCUAGCUAGCUGGUUGCUGCGACAUAAGGAAAACGUUCAGAAUGGAUAGUUUUUGAACUCCCCUAAUACAAAAUUAGGAAUGUUCAUUUCAGUUAGUAACAUCAGAAAUCCGCCCCAAACAAAUUUGGAUUGGAGCAAUAACAUUCUCAUUUAACAAAUUUCCAAUUUGGAAUAACUUUUGAUAUGUGCAAAUGAAUAAUAACUUCAACAAUUGAGUCUAGCCGAAUACAAAUGGCAUCAACUCUUAAAUUAAACAUCAUGAUCAACAUAUCAAGUGAUUUGAUAUUAAAUGACAACGAACAUGAGUUUAGUUAAAAAUAAUAAUUUAAAAUCUAGUAGUGCAUAAACUUGUCUGUCGUAUUUGUCGUUCCUUCUUGGAAACCAAUAAUGUUUUUUCCCGAACAACCUACAACAUUAUACGAGUUCAAUUUAUUAAUCCUCAUUUAACUUAUCCGAUAUUAUCGGUAAUUUUUUCAAACUCCGUUCCCAAGGUCGAGUACGCUCAAGUUCAUUUGAAAAACGUUCGUUUUCUAUUCUUUUUUACAUUUCGAUACUCCGAACUUUAUUUUUCAGAAAACUUAAGCCCUAUUUCAAGUUACUCGUAUUCACCAAUAAAUUUUUAUUACGCAGUUUUUUGCUUACUUUAAACAACUUUUAUUAAUUUUUCCGUUCUUCGAACCUUACACCAGCCAUACGUGCCGAAUUAGUUUGGCCAAACCCUUUAUACCAGGGCUAGACAUAUUCAUUUUAGAAUUUCUGUGAAUUUUCUAGAAUUUUUGGAUUACAUUCACUAUAAAAGAGUUUUUUUGAUGAUUUUUUAAAAUAACUUAAAAAUGUUUUAACGUAUGGACAAAUAUAAAAGUUUAGUUUUUAUUGUAAUUAAUGUAUGUUUUUAUAGUGUCACAAUUGGAUUAAUAUUAGGACACUAAAUGUGUAGUUAUUGUAUUAUAUAUAUAUAAUAUUUUAAUGGGCUAUAUAUGUAUAUACACAGCUGUGUAUUAUACAGUCGGAUUAUGGCGUCGGGUUUUUUGGGCUAUGACGACGGUUCACCCGUCGCCUAAAAUAGUUAUGGCAACAUGUGAAACCGUCACUAUAGCCCAAAAAACCGUCAUAACCGACUGUGUAUAUACAUUUUCCCCUAUUUUAAUACACGAAUUUAUGAUGAAUUUAAGGUAUGUACAAAGUUGAAAGAGUUCAUAAUAUAUAUUGGAUUUAUCGUACAAUUUUUCUCUUCCACAUUGAUGUAUACUUAUUAAAUCUUAGGGCUUUGUUUUUUAAUUAUGUUUCCAUAUUUGAUCUCUUAUUUUAUUUCUUUUUUUUUAUUAGUAGAUCUUCAUUUAGAUUGUUUUAGAUGCUGUGUAUUAGUUUUGCCAAUUUCAUUUGCCACCAUUAAGCUAUUUGGAGCCUGUUCGACAAUGACUUAUAAGUUAGUCAAGUCAAUUUAUGAGUCAUUUGUUGUUUGACAAUGACUUAUUUUUGUACUUAUAAAUUAAUUUUUAAGUAAAAAAAGCAAGUAUUUGUAACUUAUUUUAAAAUGACUUAUAAGUAAUUUUAAACUAAGUUAGUUUGACUAAAUGUAAGGUUUAUUUUGCCCUUCUUCUAUUUUGUAACUUUUUUUAUUAAUGUCAUUUUUAGUAAUCUUUACAUUUGAUUUUAACUUAUAAGUCUUUAUGAGCCGAACAUCUUCAUAACUUGUUUUAACUUAAUUUUUGACUUAUAAUAAGUCAAAUUAAUAUCGAACGCUUUUAUUUUAAACCACAACUUAUACCAACUUAUAUUUUAACAUUAAGUCAUUUUAAAAUAAGUCGUUACCGAACGGGCUAGGUAAAGACUUAUAUUUUAACUUAUAAGUAAAUUUAUUAGUUCAAAUUAGUAAACAAUAAUUUAUAACUUAUUAAAAAAUGACUUAUAAGUCAAUCUUAAUAAAUUACUUUGACCAAAUAUAAUAUCUAUUUUGCCCCCUCUAAUUUUUAAAUUACAUCUCUACCCUUCUAACCUAAAUAACCUUCUCUCUUUAUUCUCUUCUAACGUAAACACAACUACACAGCGGCUAAUUGGAGAUCUGAUCUGCUCUGCGCUGCCCUCGAUCCGUCAAUUUCUUGGAUUCUCCCUCUUUCCCUCUGCGGCUGUUACUACUGCUACUCCUUCUACUCCUUCGAUUGCUGCUACGCUGUUAGGUACCAAACCCUAGACCACAUGUUUGAUAUAUGUUUGUAUUAUGUUAUGUGAAUCUUUGGCAUGUGGUUUUUCUUAAAGACUCUAGUUUCAGAGCCUGUGGGUUUCGAUUAAAUUCCAUUUUUGUUAAUUUAUAUGGUUCAAAUGUUAGAUUGAUCGAUUGAAUGAAUUGUUGUAUAAUGGGUUGUGCUUAAUUAGGAAUAUAUGAGCAGCUUCAUGUUAACAAAUUUAACCUGGGCUCUGCUUAACCUGAGUAUUGUGUGAUCUAUUAACAUUUGCUGAUUGGGACUUGGGGUGAGGGGAGUGUCGAUACUGAGACAACAUAUAACAACAUAAUUGAUUUGUUUACUUCAUCCUAGCUACACAGUUUAUACCCAUCUGAUAUUUGUAGAGAAAUAUUGGUGUUCAAGAUAUUUAGGAGAAAAAUGAUUGUUUUCUUUAUCAGUAGUUAGUUACUUGUUUGAAUUUAGGUGUUUAUUGAUGCUGAGGAGUGUAGUCUCUACUUUUCAUUAACUUUGAUUUAUAUGUUGUUUUUAAUUAGUUGGCAGUUUAUACUGUACACGUUUGAUGAAAUUCCUCUAUGAGUAUUACCUGUAUACUGUUCAGAAUAAAAAUCACCAGUGAUGAUUAUAUAAAGUCAUGAGCUAAGUAGUGUGUCCAUAUUGAUUAAUUAAAAAGUGAAAAAGAAUUUUCUAAAAAAGUGGAAAACUGGGAGCCAAGUGGAAUGAUUGACUAAGCUGACUAAAAUUUGUUUGGAGUUGCAUAAUCUUCUGUGAGUCUAACAACAGCAAGUCUACAUGUGUAUCACAGGGAUUAGGUAUAUGAACAUGUAGCUGGAACUGCAUUAACUUGAUAUGUUUAGGUAUAUGAACAUGGAUUAGGUAUAUGAACAUGUAGCUGGAACUACAUUAGGUAUAUGAUUGUAGUUGAUAUGUUUAGAGAAUUUGUUUAGUGUUUUAUUUAAUGAAAUUGUGGAUGAUUGUUAUGAUAUGAUAUUGAAUCAAUAUAUCUUUUUAUUAAUGUCCUUUUUAGCCUUCAUAGCUUCUUUUAACUUAUUAUCUGACUUAUAAUUGAAAUUUAUGCCAAACGUUUUUACUUAUAAGUCACAACUUAAAAAAUAAAUUAUAAGUCGACUUAUAUUUUAACUUUAAAUCAUAUUAUAAAUUGAUUUGAACUAAGAAUAUUCAGUAAUUCGAACAUUAUGGAAUGUUAUGAUUUUAUGUUGUUUUUCUAUUUGUAAUAUAUAUGAAGGUUAAGCUUGCCUAUUAAGGGAAUUUUUAUCUAUAGAUGGUGAUUUAUCUAGAAUUUGAAAUCAGUGGUUUUGUUUGUUUUGUUGGGUUUUUGGGUUCUGUUUUCAAACACCAUAAAAAACACAGGAUGAACAGAGUUUUGGAUUAGUAUAUAAACCGGUUUAAUAUACAUUACCCAUCUUUACAUGCCAUGUUGAUUAUAAGUCUUCCCCCUUACUUUCCAAGUCCAAUCUAACACUGGCUUACUUUUGUUCAAAUUAAAUUUGCUAAACAUCAUGUACAUUGUAAUUAAACAUAUCUUGUUUUGUCUCGUUUCGUUUUUCCGAAGUUGUAUAAGCCUUUAUACUUGAGUGGAUGUGAGUAACUGCACUUGGUAAAAGACAGAGGAACUCGCAACAGUCAAGUAGACCAUGUAUGAUAUUGAUUAGGUUCAGUUUAAGCAGACAAUUCUUGUGUUUUAAAUGAAUGGAUAUUGUCAUGAAAAAAUGACUUUUAUGGGUGUAUAGAGCGAGUAAUGUUAGGGCUCAAAGGAGUUUCAUGAAUAUUUUAAUAUAAUUUAUUAAAUGACCAUUCACAAUUUAUGUAGUCAACCAAUGUAAUAAUGACAUUAUUUGAGAUCUCAUAUUUGUUGAAACCCUAGCGUUACUCACAGGGUAUACGAUUAUUUGUCUGUGCGGUUUCCAGUUCAAGCAAUUUUACUGUUGGCUCUGGACCUCUGGUUAUUAAUCAUUAAUAUUGAAUUCCUCUAUCCCAUAUUAUUUGUCCACCUUUCCAUUUUGAAAAUCCCAAAAUGCUUGAAUUUUUCAAAUUCCUUUAUUGCUCUCAUGUGUUGCAUUAGUACAAAGGUACAAAAUUUAGAUGAAGGGUACUAUUGGUUUACCUUAUAAGCCUGAUAUAUUGAUAUGAAGAUGAUAAAAUGCAAUUUUCUCAAGUGGCGUGUCUAUCAUUUUGUACAUUAAAUUUAGUAUGGAGGGAUUAAUAGAAAAUGUUUAUGGAAGUUAAGCAGACUAUAAACAUGUAAUAGCUUAUGAACAUAGACAGGUCGGGAGGGAUUUGACAUACAAGGAGUUUCAUGUUCAAAUAGUUGUCGGGAAAGAACAAAUUUUAAGAAAUAAGGUAAUGCCUUCUUUGAAGGUAAUCUUGAGAAAACCACAAUUUGGAUGAAGCUAAGUGGGACCUUGAAGCUAAGAUGAGGCAAAAUUACCCACAACUUUUUGAGUAACGUAGUAGUGAUUUCGGGGACGGAAUUCUUAUGAGGAGGGAAUAAUGUAAUAUCCGAGAAUAAUUUAGAAAGCUUUUGGGGUUAUGUAAUUAUAAUGGUAAUUUUAAUGGAGUACAAUUUAUAAUUGAGAAUGUUGUGCAAAUUAAAGUAAAUGAGUAUAUAUAUAUAUAUAUAUAUAUAUAUAUAUAUAUAUAUAUAUAUAUAUAUAUAUAUGGAGUUAUAUUAGCCAAACAAGAAGUCAACAAGUCAAACUUUUGUCAAGAUUUUGGUCAAGCCUCGUCAAGCCUUCUGGAAGUUUUAAAAAAAGGAAAUCGGUCAAAAUCUGGCCAAAGUCAAGGCCCAUGGGGGCAACCAAGCAAGGAGGGUUUGACCAUAAGAUAACAAGUCUUGGGAGGGAGGCAAGUGAUAUUCACCAUUUUGGCCUAUAAAUACCAAGUCUUGUUUAGCCUUCCUACACUUCACAAAUUCAAUCAACAAGAGCUAAGAAAUAGAGAGGGAGAUUUCGUCAUCUAGGGGAGUAAGAAGGAGAGGUCCCAAGCUAGCAAGAUCAAAAACAAGAAUAUCCAAGAAGGAAAGACCUUUGGCACGAGUGGUAUGACCCAACCCAUGUUAACCUUGAGGUUGGGGGUUCAAUCAUUGGCAGUGGUCAAGGAGGGUGUGUCAAAUUAGCAAACAAAAAUAAAAAUAAAACCUAAAACUAUUCUAAAUCCAAGUUUUCUUAUGAAAAUCCUUGAUCUAUGUUAAUAAACUGAUACAUGAUGGAUCUUGGUUGUAGAUAUCAAUGAUCAAGGAAAAAGUUUGAAAGAACAAAAGAAGUUUAAACUUGUUUAGGUUAAAAACACUAAAACAGAUCCCAAAAAUGGAACAUUAAUCUUAGUGUAUAAUGAAUUUUUGAGUGAGGUUUGUUGGGGGGUUACCUCUUUGAGUUAUGUAAACACUGCAAAAAGAUUAGAACUUAAAUUCCUUAUAGAUUAAUUAUGGUAUUUUGUCUAUUCAAAACAGGAAACUGAUGAACUUCCUACCUUGGUAUUUUCAGUGGACAAUUUCGGAUGGUUAACUUGUUUAAUAAAUUAUGGCUUUUUGAGGGUUGAUACCUUAUGGUAUAAAGUGUUAGGUCCAAAGAUGAACAAAAAUGGACUCGUGUUGAAGGAGUUUUGACCAAAACCAAAUUUGACAUUUUAAAAUUAAAACAAUUAUAACAUGAGUUUUAUAACUCAUUUGAUAAUGAAAUUUAAAGUGGAAGUACUCUCUGAUGUUAGAGUCUACUAUCCAAAUUUCAUAAUUUUUGGAAUAAUUUCGAAUUAUUGUAAAUAUUGUAAUUUUGGACAGAAAUGACUGUUGAAUAAAUACUAAACAGUGAUGGAAAAAUCAGAAAACAUUUAAAAUAUAAUUAACUAUGCGAGGGCCAGAAGGAUAAAAUUAAUAAAUUGGUUAAGGAGGUUUAAUGGAGAAAAUAAGUUAAGAAAUUUAAUUCAAGUAAAACCAAAAAUAUGUAAUAUAAUUUUAUCAGUUAAAACAUGUUAAUAUGGAACGUAUGAGCUCAAGUGUUAAUUGGUGAGGUCUAGAAAUGGUAUGAGGGGAUGCUCGAGAUCGAGUUUACGUUAAAAGAAAUUAUCGAAACGGGUUUAGGAAUAAUUAUCAUCGAUAACAAUUAAUAAUAAUAGUUAAGUUAAUUGAAUUAAUAUUUAUUGAUAUUGUAGGUGAUCAUUUUGAAGGAAGUUAGUAACAUAACAAGGGAGAUUUAUACAAUCCAGGCAAGUUCCCGCACUUAUGUGCAUUUACAAAUUGUUCGGUUAUCGAACUGUAUUUUAUUCAUUAAAUUUCUUGUUAUUUCAUGAAUUGUUUUGAGAAAUAAGUCUUAUGUUAUUUGUUUCGGCUAGACAGUUGGUGUGAUAUGUUAUAUUAUUGAAUUGUUAAUAAUUCUUUGGAGAUAUUUAAAUAUAAUCCAAAUUGUUUUGGUGCGAACUCUGAUGUUAUAACAUAGUAGAACAACCCUAGAAAUAGGGGAUAUUGUGUUGUGGUCGGGUAACUGACAUGUGUUGUCAAAAAUACUGUGCGAGAUGAUGUUACGCAUAACAUGGGAUGUCGUUGGGUUGAUCCCCUAAUGAUACUCUUUAGAGAGUUCACAUUCUGUGAUUGUUGAACAGUUUUGGAGAGUUCUUAGUUCACGACUGAUGAACAAAUUUUAUUAGUUAAUGGUCCUUUUUGACCACUCAGUUGUCAUUCGAAUGAUUUUAAAUCAUGUUAAGUUUUUGAGAUUACAAGUUCCUAUCUUGUGAAAAUGUUAUUGAACUCUUAUUUGUUCGUUCAUUCAAAAUGUUAUUCAGCGAAUAUGAUAAAAAUGUUUUUAUUGUAUUAUUUAUACUUGUUGAGCAAUGUAGUUCUUCACUCUUGCUAUAUCAAAUGUUUUUCAACUAAAGCAAUUCCCGAAGGGUUGGGAAAAGAUUAGGGAAAAGGUAAGGCUAAAGACUAAUAUGUAACUGAUAUAUAUUAGAACUUUAUUAUUAUUAAAUGGUGUAAUAUUUUUGAAAUAGUUUAUUAUAUUUUGUUUAAGUUGUAAUAGUUGGUAAGGUUAAGAACCGACUAUAAGGUGGUGUUUGUUUGCCUUUUAAUUCACCUGCUUUUGAUUCGGUUAGAGGCAAUCUUGUUUGUUAAAUUUUUUUUGCCUUAAUAAUUCUUAGUCGUUAAGACAGAAACUCAAAUCAUAACUAUUAAGAGCUGCCUCUUAAUAGUUUAUUUAAAAUUUAUGGACAAAAAUAGCCUAAAUAAAUAUUUCACUCCUUCAAUUUCAAAUUUUAAGAUCAUUCAAAUAAAAUUUUUAAAAAGAGUUAAAAUGGUAAAAUAGUGUUAUUUAGAUGUUUUACACUUUUUAGUUAUCAAACAAUAUUUUAGAUUCAGAUUCAGAUGUUUUACACUUUUUAGUUAUCAAACAGUAUUUUAGAUUCAGAUAUUUCAUUCGGAUGAUCUAAUUUAUUAUGAUGUAUUAAUCAUUUUGAUCUUAAUUACUCAGUUUUAUCAAACACUUCGUAAGACAUGUUAUGUAAAUUAUUGUAUUUAUUUUUGUCUUUUUAAGUUUAUGUUAUCAGAUAGAUGUGGAUGAUGAUGAAUAGUGAGCACCAUAUCUGUUGUUUUGAGACAAGUUGAUAUCAGAGUUAUAGGGUACAACCCUUAGGUUGCAAAACCUUGGGAUAUAAUCAGAUGAAAAAUAACAAUGAUAUGUGAACUCUCAUAGAUUUCUUAAGUAAUAAGAGAUGAAUUGCUCAUUCAUCAAGUUUAUUAAACUAAAUGUUAUGUGGAAGUUAAUCAAGUUAUAUUAUAUGUUAUAUUAUGAUGGGAAUUAAGUUUGUUAUCUUAUCCUAUUGUAGGAUGGCCAGCGAGGAAGAAAUUAGCGACAUUUAUGAGGUACCUAGACCUGUGCCAACAGUAGUACCCGAGCCAGUCAGUGAACCAGAAGAGGAACCAUUCAUGGAUCCUGAAGAAGAACUUGAGGAAACUCGUGAAGAGGAUCAAGCAAUUUCGGAUGAUGUUGCACUGGCUGAGGAAGAACUGGAGGGUGAUCAGCGGUACCUGAUCGGGGUAUGAGAGUCAUAAAGCCUGAGUUAAAGACUGCGAUACUAGACCUGAUGAAAAGAAAUCAGCAGUUAGAAAAGAAGUUGCAGGAGUUAGAAAGAACUCGGCAGUUACAAAACAAGCAGGAGUUAGAAAAAAAUCAGCAGUUAAAAAACAAGUUGCAGGAGUUAGAAAACAAGAAGCAAGAGUUAAAAAACAAGGUGCAGCAGGUGAAGGAUAGAAAAGAGGAGAUAAAGGCUCUUCGAAACAAGGUGCAGCAGGUGAAGGAUAGAACAGAGGAGCUAAAGGCGCUUUGGGAGGCAGAUAUAGCUAAAUGCAUUAGAUUGGAGCGAGUACUGGCAGGACUGAGUUUAAAGGAAAGGAGGUUGGAAUGGAUACUUUAUACUAUUAGGACCAACUUGUAGGGCUCCUACUAAUAAAUCUAUGAAUUGCUGCAAGGGGUUCUGAUUCGGUUCCCUAUCUUCUGUAUCUGGUUCUCGCUGCGUUCUUCUCCUUGGCAACAUUUUCUGUUUAAUAUAACAGUGUAUUACUAUAACAUUAUCACUCUUGAUGCACAUUUAUUAAUAUGUAUCAUACUAGUACAUCUUACAUUUCAUAGCACUAGCUAUUUACAUAUCCUGUAUUAAUCUUAAAAA